GCCUGGCGCCGCCGCCUCCCGCCCCGCCCCGCCCGGCGCCGCCGCCUCCCUCCCCACCCCGCCCCGCCCGGCGCCGCCGUACACCGCCGCCGCGCCUACCCCUGCCUCCUGCACCUGCUACCAUGGCACCGCCGGGACUCCUCCCCACUGCUUCCACCUCGACAAUGGUUUCCCCAACCCCGCCGGCUUCGCCACCGGCCACUCCUUCAUCCACAAUAAUCAUAGGAGACAGCUACACGGGCGAGCCUACGAGCAAGACCUCGACGACGCUGGCGGUGGAAGACCACGGAUGUGAGGGCGCUUGGAAGGCCGCGGUGCCGCGAUUAAGUCAUGAGGACCGCGGCGGCAGCAGUCAAAAUCUUCAUGAAGUCUCUCCGCUUACCCUCCCUCGGUCUGAUUUCUCUCCAAUCUUUGAAUCCCCUCAGUUUGAACUAAUGCCAUGUAUUUUCUGAACAGUUAGUAAAUCAUUUGUCAGUUGAAAGAUGGUUGAUGCACCAAAAAAGAUUGUAUUGAUUCAAUCUGGAAAAGUCAAGAUCACAAUAGCUUUCAGAACAAUUAGUGAAUCAUUUGUCAGUUGAAAGAUGGUUGAUGCACCAAAAAAGAUUGUAUUGAUUCAAUCUGGAAAAGUCAAGAUCACAAUAGCAAUUACAUAUGCAUUUGUUGGGCCAAAAGUAGCAGUUACAUAUGCAUUUGUUGGGCCAAAAGUAGCAGUUACAUAUGCAUUUAGUUAAUCUUUUGGCCUAUCACCGUUUCAUGCAUUUUUUGUGGACUUUCAUUUGACCUUGAGUGUUGACUUGCUUUUCUGUUGCUAACAAUGUCCGGCUUGCCGAAUGUACUUGCUUAUCCUUGUACUGGAGUACCAUUAUUCACCAUAUACACACUUUCCAAUUCUGUCUGUUUACUAUCUAGGAGUCAGACCAUGGCUGCACGGAGCAGGUCCACCCACUAGGGGCUGGCCGCCGUGUCCGCCAUGAGGAUUCCUGCACUAAGCCUUGCCGGCGUUCCCGGCCACCAAGUUGGGCAAGUGCUAGAACCCAGGAGCAUAUGAUUUUGCUGCUCAUGACAUACGCGUCAAUAUUGCAAUCAACUCUGACUGCAAUUGUAUAGACAAGGGCCUGCAUUCUAUAUGGAAGGUUCGACAUUGAAGCUGCUCGCAUUGAUCUGCAAUAGAUCUUGACUUCAGCGGAAAAUGAGAUUGACGGGGGCCCAAAAAAACCCACCGCUUGUUAUAUUCCAACUCGAAGGUGACUUGGCAGUCAGUACAGAUACAAGUAAGCGCCCAAAGGCGCAAAAGAAAAUUACAGGGGAGAGCAAGAGAAAGCCCAAAACUAGAAGAAAGAAACAAAAUGGAGGGGAAGGCUGGCACCAGAACCAAACUGAAACCCCUAGAGACCGACAUCUCGGGUGGAUUUCACGUGUUGAAUUUCACAUGGAGCAACUUUGUCCGCGGGUUCUGUACACACUAUUUUCAUCAGCUUGUGUAGUAGCAACAAUAUUUUGUGCCACGACAUGUAGACGAAAC